GGCAGGAAGAGACCACCAACCUGGUUGCUGGGGAGCACGAGGAAGCUAAAAGCAGUGGUUCUGUGAGUUUCAAAGAGGGGUUUCAGAACAUCCCCUCCACCAUGUGGUGGGAUGCUGACUCCGGAGCAUGGACCGUGUGCCGGCAGCACGUGGACUCUGCAAAGACAGACUGGCUUAGCCUUCCCAGCCGGAGCCAUCAACACCUCUGCUCUAUGGAGGGGGAAACGGAGGCCCAGGGAGGUGGUGGAGGCCUCCAGUACAGAUCUCCGUCCACGCCCUCCUCCUUCUGGACUUCCUGAGACGCCCAUCCACACACUCCUCCUUCUGGACUUCCUGGCUGAGGCCUUAUAUGUCAAGGAAAAGCACAGUGAGGCCAGUGGAGGACUUCGAGCAGAAGAUAUGUCAUGUUGGCACAAAAUUCUGUGGGCAAAGUGGAGUGAAAAUACAAGGCAAAGGAGAAAACAUUUAAGUCUGUUAAAAAAUUGUCUCUUAAAAAUUGUUGAUGAUUAAAUCACCGUGAUAUUUA